UGGGGAAUAUUGGACAAUGGGCGCAAGCCUGAUCCAGCCAUGCCGCGUGGAUGAUGAAGGCCCUAGGGUUGUAAAGUCCUUUCGGCGGGGAAGAUAAUGACGGUACCCGCAGAAGAAGCCCCGGCUAACUUCGUGCCAGCAGCCGCGGUAAUACGAAGGGGGCUAGCGUUGCUCGGAAUCACUGGGCGUAAAGCGCACGUAGGCGGACUCUUAAGUCGGAGGUGAAAUCCUGGAGCUCAACUCCAGAACUGCCUUCGAUACUGAGAGUCUCGAGUCCGGGAGAGGUGAGUGGAACUGCGAGUGUAGAGGUGAAAUUCGUAGAUAUUCGCAAGAACACCAGUGGCGAAGGCGGCUCACUGGCCCGGUACUGACGCUGAGGUGCGAAAGCGUGGGGAGCAAACA
rnacentral:rRNA from 1 species